AGUGAACGCUGGCGGUAGGCCUAACACAUGCAAGUCGAACGGCAGCACAGUAAGAGCUUGCUCUUACGGGUGGCGAGUGGCGGACGAGUGAGGAAUACAUCGGAAUCUACUUUUUCGUGGGGGAUAACGUAGGGAAACUUACGCUAAUACCGCAUACUACCUACGGGUUAAAUCAGUGGAUCUUCGGACCUUUCGCGAUUGUAUUAGCCGAUGUCGGAUUGGAUGGUGGGCGGGGUAAAGGCCCACCAAGGCAACGAUCCGUAGCUGGUCCGAGAGGAUGAUCGGCCAAACGGAAACGGAGCACCGGUCCAGACUCCAACGGGAGGCGGCGUUGGGAAAUUUUGGCAAAUGGGCGAAGGCCGAACCAGGCAACGCGGGGGGGGUGAGAAGGCCUUCGGGUUGUAAAGCCCUUUUGUUGGGAAAGAAAAGCAGCAGGUUAAUACCCCGCUGUUCUGACGGUACCCAAAGAAUAAGCACCGGCUAACUUCGUG
rnacentral:rRNA from 1 species